rnacentral:rRNA from 1 species
CCUACGGGAGGCAGCAGUGAGGAAUCUUGCGCAAUGGACGAAAGUCUGACGCAGCAACGCCGCGUGGGCGAUGAAGGUCUUUGGAUCGUAAAGCCCUUUUCUAGAGGAAGAGGAAGGACGGUACUCUAGGAAUAAGUCUCGGCUAACUACGUGCCAGCAGCCGCGGUAAAACGUAGGAGACAAGCGUUAUCCGGAUUUACUGGGCGUAAAGGGCGUGUAGGCGGUAACCUAAGUUGGACGUGAAAUCUCCCGGCCUAACUGGGAGGGGUCGUCCAAUACUGGGUAUACUUGAGGGCAGGAGAGGGAAGUGGAAUUCCCGGUGUAGCGGUGGAAUGCGUAGAUAUCGGGAGGAACACCAGUGGCGAAGGCGGCUUCCUGGUCUGUUUCUGACGCUGAGGCGCGAAAGCUAGGGUAGCAAACAGGAUUAGAUACCCUAGUAGUCC